rnacentral:rRNA from 1 species
CGGCGUGCCUAACACAUGCAAGUCGAACGGGCUAGUGCUUCGCACUAGUCUCUUUCUGGGGUUGUUACUCUAAGGCUACCUGCUAAAGUUAUUGCUUUAAAGCAGGGGUUUUAGGAGACUUUCCCCGAAAGGGGCCAGUGCGGAGCACUGGCCAGUGGCGAACGGGUGAGUAACACGUGGGUAAUCUACCCUCGAGUGGGGAAUAAGCUUCCGAAAGGGGGUCUAAUGCCGCAUAACGUUUCAUAACGAUGGUUAUGAAACCAAAGCCCAAAAGGCGCUCGAGGAGGAGCCUGCGUCCUAUCAGCUUGUUGGCAGGGUAAUGGCCUACCAAGGCUAUGACGGGUAGCCGGCCUGAGAGGGUGUCCGGCCACACUGGAACUGAGACACGGUCCAGACUCCUACGGGAGGCAGCAGUGGGGAAUUUUGCGCAAUGGGGGAAACCCUGACGCAGCGACGCCGCGUGAGGGAAGACGGCCUUCGGGUUGUAAACCUCUUUUGUACGGGAAGAUAAUGACGGUACUGUACGAAUAAGUCCCGGCUAACUACGUG